CUCUUUUGAAGGUUACAUGUGGGCGGCCACGGGAAAGGGUGAAAGAUAUUAUGCAGAAUGUUCGCCACAAUGCUUAUUACGAGGACCCAUUCGCUAAGAAAUCUGGAAUAAAAACCAGUGAUAAGCUUGCUCAAGUUGGGGCUCGCAUUCUUCCUUCCCCAUGGAUGACUUUAUGAUCAGUGGGGGAUAAUGUAUGUCAACGUAUACAACAGGAUCAAUUUGACACCAUGUAUUUGUCAGACAAUGAGAGUUAUGUUAUGUAC